rnacentral:rRNA from 1 species
UACGUAGGGUGCAAGCGUUGUCCGGAAUUAUUGGGCGUAAAGAGCUCGUAGGCGGUUUGUCGCGUCUGCUGUGAAGACUCGGGGCUUAACCCCGAGCCUGCAGUGGAUACGGGCAGACUAGAGGUAGGUAGGGGAGAAUGGAAUUCCCGGUGUAGCGGUGAAAUGCGCAGAUAUCGGGAGGAACACCGGUGGCGAAGGCGGUUCUCUGGGCCUUACCUGACGCUGAGGAGCGAAAGCGUGGGGAGCGAAACAGG